rnacentral:rRNA from 1 species
UACGUAGGGUGCGAGCGUUAAUCGGAAUUACUGGGCGUAAAGCGUGCGCAGGCGGUUCUCCAAGUCCGUUGUGAAAGCCCCGGGCUCAACCUGGGAAUGGCAGUGGAAACUAGGGGACUUGAAUCUGGCAGAGGGGGGUGGAAUUCCACGGUGUAGCAGUGAAAUGCGUAGAGAUGUGGAGGAACACCGAUGGCGAAGGCAGCCCCCUGGGCUGAGAUUGACGCUCAGGCACGAAAGCGUGGGGAGCAAACAGG